CACUGUAAAUUCAGAGUCACGAAAGCCCACGUUCACUCCCCUUCCUUCCUCCUCGCUGGACGGCGCCGCCGCACCGCCGCCUUCAUCCGCGGCCGCCAUGUCGAUCCCGGCGGAUCGCUCUCGCCUGCGGUUGGAAGGCCCUGCUCCAACCCGUGCCCGCUGCUCUGCGUCCUCCAGCGAGGCGGCGGCCGAGAGGCUCACCGACGACCUCCUCCUGGAGAUCCUCCCGCGCGUGCCCGCCAAAUCCCUCUGCCGCUUCAGGUGUGUCUCCAAGCACUGGCUCGACCUCAUCGACCACCCCGACCACCGCAAGAAGCUCCCGCAAACACUCGCUGGGUUCUUCUACAACAAAGGUUUCACCAGCAGCAGCCCGGAGUCCUUUUUGGUGCCGCCUAUCCUCCUCACCAGUGUCUCGGGGAGCCCCUGCCCUCUGACCUCAACCUCUGUCGCGUUCCUGCCCAAGUACAUGAGUGUUUAUGUCUUGGACUGCUGCAAUGGCCUCUUCCUCUGUCGCUGGUAUGGCGUCUCCACCAAGAUUGGAGAAUUCAGCUACAUUGUUUGCAAUCCAGCCACGGAGAAAUGGGUUGCGUUGCCGAGCUCCGGCCAGGCCACCGACAAUGUGCUCAUCGCACGUUUGGGCUUUGAUCCGACCCAAUCGUCGCAUUUUCAUGUGUUUGAGUUGUUGGAGGAUCAUGAUAGCUGGGGCCCUUCCCCUGGCCUGGCCGGAGUGGCAGUGUAUUCGUCUGAAACCGGAGGAUGGAUCCAUAAGAAAGAGAGAUGGAACCAACAUAUCAUGCUCCCUUAUUAUGAUCGUACCUCAGCAGACACUGUCUUUCUUGACAGCCGUCUGUAUUUUCAUGCCAUUGGCAGUGGGUUGUCCAAAUGUCUAGCUGCAGUGGACACGGAGGGGGAAACAUGGACCAACUUCGGUGUCCCUGGUGGUGGUCUGAUUGAGGGUUUUAUUCAGGGGUCACAGGGCUGCUUGCACUAUGCCAAUUUCUAUAGAGAUGAUUACAAUGCUGCAGUUCGGCUACAAGUAUAUGUUCUCCGGAACGAUGAAAGCAAAGAAUGGAUACUGAAGCACACCGUUGAAACUUCAUAUGUAUUUGGAGGGAUAGAUGUUACCCUUGAUUGGGAUUUUAAGUGGGUUGGGAUUCAUCCGCAGUGUAACUCGAUCUUCUUCACUGGAGGUUGGGAUACCUCAUUCAUGCGCUAUAAUAUGGAUAAUCAAAAAGUGAAAGUGAUCCGCAAUCUCAAAGAUGGCAAUCCACCAUAUCUGCCGUAUGUGCCGUUGUACGCAGAUUUACAAUCUUUGGAAAUGUGACAUCAAUAUGAGACAGCCAGUGCCUCUAUAGCAGUAAAUUGUUCGUGCUAUGGAGCAGCAGGCUUUGGUAUGUAUGCUAGAAGAAUUCUGGCUCUCGCGUUUUUUCUAGCUGAUGUAUACAUCCUUCUAAGUUUUGAGCUAUGGUGGUUCAUCAUGGAGGCUGCUUGGCUGAUUUCUAUGAGAUUAGGUAUUUAGAUCGAUUCUUCAAGUCCUACAACGCCCAAACUACAGGUGAUUGUCAUGGCAGGGCUCUGGAAACAAACUGAAAACUGUACUUGGGCUUGCCUAUCAGUUACAAGAACGUGUCCGCUGUUCUUCAGUAACGAGACCAUGUCUUCUUCUUUGCGAUCGAUCACAUGGGAUAUUGAUCUUAACUCGUAAGAGAACCCUCGCUGUGGAGUUUUUGACCAGGAAAAACUUGGGAGAGUCCAACGAUCGGUUAACUAGGUAUAGGAGCUAGGUAAGAUAGCUGCUGCAAUUAUUCAUCACUGGAUAUAUAUCUUACCAUUUUUUGGUUGCAGGUAAAAUAAUUUGGGUCAAUACAAUGUCACUUCUUUUGAUACCAAUUACCUGUGAUAUGUUGUAAUAAAUAGACAUGCUCUCAGCACAAGAUCAGCAAAG